rnacentral:rRNA from 1 species
AUUGAACGCUGGCGGCAGGCCUAACACAUGCAAGUCGAACGAGUGGCGGACGGGUGAGUAAUGUCUGGGAAACUGCCUGAUGGAGGGGGAUAACUACUGGAAACGGUAGCUAAUACCGCAUACCAUCAGAUGUGCCCAGAUGGGAUUAGCUAGUUGGUGGGGUAACGGCUCACCAAGGCGACGAGCCCUAGCUGGUCUGCGAGGAUGACCAGGCUCACUGGACCUGAGACACGGUCCAGGCUCCUCCGAGUGGCAGCGGGGGGAAAUGUUGCACGAUGGGCGAAAGCCUGGUACAGCCCUGCCGCGUGUAUGAAGAAGACCUUCGGGUUGUAAAUUACUUUCAGAGGAGAGGCGUUACCCGACGAAGAAGCACCGGCUAACUCCGUGCCAGCAGCCGCGGUAAUUC